rnacentral:rRNA from 1 species
AUGAGCUGUUUGAGCUGGAACUGCCGGGGGUUUGGGAACCUCGAGGCAGUCCGAGAGCUUCGCAGUAUCGUGAAGCUAGAAGGACCCACUCUCCUCUUUGUUAUGGAAACGAAAAUCAAUGCAAAGAGAGCUGAGGAUUUGAAGUACACUCUAGGUUUUGGAGGUUGUUUUGCUGUAGACAGUGCUGGUUUGAGCGGUGGCAUUGGUAUUUUUUGGUCUCACGAUGUUAUUGUUGAGUUAAAGAAUUUUAGUCAGUGCCAUAUUGAUGUGGUUGUCCAAAGUAAUGAUCAAGCAUCCUCAAUAUGGCGUUUCAUGGGAUUUUACGGGGCUCUGAGAAUUGAGGGUCGCCACCACAGCUGGCAAACUCUUCGUUCCCUUCAUGCAAUACCUCAUGCGGCAUGGUUGUGUGCGGGUGAUUUCAAUGAAACUUUGUUUGCCUCCAAGCACUUCAGCAGAGCAGCGCAGGCGGAGAGAUAG